ensembl:lncRNA
GCUAGUGGAGCCUGGGGGAUGCUAGUGGAGGCUAGGAGAAAGCGAAGGGACUGGGAGAGGCUAGUGGAGGUUGAUGGAGGCUAGGGGAGACUAAUGGAGGCUAGUGGAGGCUAGGGGAGGCUAAGGGAGACUAGUGGAGGCUAGGAGAGGCUAGUGGAGGCUGGGGGAUGCUAGUGGAGGCUAGGUCAGCCUAGGAGAGGUUAGGGGAGGCUGGGAGAGACUAGGAGAGGCUAGUGGAGUUUGGGAGAGACUAGGAGAGGCUAGUGGAGACUAGGAGAGGCUAUGAGAGGCUAGGGGAGGCUAGUGGAGGCUAUGAGAGACUAGUGGAGGCUGGGGGAUGCUAGGGGAGUCUAGUGGAGGCUAGGAGAGGCUAGGGGAUGCUAGUGGAGGCUAGUGGAGGCUAUGAGAGACUAGUGGAGGCUGGGGAAUGCUAGUGGAGGCUCGGAGAGACUAGGAGAGACUAGUGGAGGCUGGGGGAUGUUAGUGGAGACUAGGGGAGGCUAGUGGAGGCUGGGGGAUGCUAGUGGAGGCUAGGAGAGGCUUGG